ensembl:lncRNA
AGAAAAAAGAGUGGGCUCUUAUGACUCAUGUGAUUUUAGAUCCUUGUUUACAGGCGGGUGUGGAAUUCAUUUCUUUCUUUUUCAAUUAAGGAAAAAAGCCUGAUAGAAUAAACGAUUCAGUGAAUGAGUCAGUAGCAGGGAGGCUUUCACUUCUCUCUGGUGCCUCAAUCCCUUACUGAGCACCUACUAUGUGCCAGAAGCUGUGCUGGGCAUGCAGAGCUGGGACGCCGUGGCCUGUAUAUUCUGCUGGUUGUGGGAUGCGGCCCUUGCCUGGGCUCCAGAGAAAGGACAGGCUCUGUUUGGUUGGAGGUGAAUCUAGAAGACCUUCUGCAGGAGGUGGAAUUUGAGAUGCAAUUUGAAGAAAGGGACAGGUUUUUGAGGAAGACGUCAGCAUGUGCAAAGGUCCAGAGGGCUGCCUCCCGACAUGGGCCAGUCUGGCUGGAAACUGUCAGAGUGAAUAAGAGAAGGAUCCAUGUGAGUGCGUGGUCAAAAUAGAAGUCGCCGUGGAAAGGCGAGAGAUGAGUCUGCCAGGGAGAGCCUGUCUGGAUGUCGUCAGCUGUGAUGAGCCUACAGGUUGUCACGGACUUGGCGGCUCUCCGAUGCCUGCUGAGCAGUCUUCUGUGUAUAUGAAUCCAGAGGCUGUGGGGAAUCAGUGUUAAUGGCGCUGGGAUCCGGGUUCGGCGGGAAGGUUCUUCAGAAGGAUCCAAACUCCGUCACAAUCAUUGCAGAUGGAGUUGGACUCCAGCCAGCAGAGAGGAGGAGUCGCAGGACAUGUGUGGGGACCAGAACAAGCUGAUCAAGCCUUAGGGAGUUAAAAUUCUUUCAUCCUCCACACUCACCUCAGAAAGGUGGUGUGGUACAUUGUGACCAAGCAGGUGAAAAUUUGAUUCAUUAUCAUCGUAAAUGCCUUCAAGAGUUGGUAGACCUAAGAGCACAAAAGAAGACAAUAUGGUCAGAGUUGAAACCUACAAAUGCAGGCAUAUGGUCAACCCUGUGUAAGCGUAGACAAGAAUUAAGGAGUGUGUGGAUUACCAGAAUCCAGGGACUGGGCUGGGGAGCUGGGGAGACAAACUCUCUUUUUCUAAGCCCGUGACACAGAGCUUAGGGAGGCCCCCUAGGUUAACACAUCUGGGAGAAAUUCCCUAUCCUAAGCAACCUCAACUGAGAGGCUCAUAACAGCCCCCUUGGGGACUAAGCAACGCCAGUCAACUGGGGUAAUGGGUUUUCUUUGUGGGUGUACAUUUUUUCACUCCAGGAGGAUUUGGGGUUAUGUUAAGACAGGCUUAUGGGAAUUAAAACCAUAGUAUUUUGUUUUUUCUGUUUUAUGCUUACUUGUAAUGCUAAUUUUGCCUAUUAAAGUGAGAAUCUAAUCAUCCUAAUUUAAAAUGUAAUUGAGCAAUUAGAUGUGUGAGUUUACAUUAAAAUCUUUCUAAACUUAUGCUCAGUCCUAGAAUAUUUCAGAGAAUUUUAGGUUCACAGCAUAUAUAUAUUUAAUUUACUAGCUGUAUAUGAAUUAGUUACGUACCCAGGGAGACGUUGCUCAAAACAGGCAAAUGAGUUAAAAAGGAAAUCCAAUAAAUGACGUUAGAUGUUAAAAAUGUUAUUGAAGUAUGUCAUACAUUCUGACAAGUCCUGAGGUGAUCAAGGGACCAGUAUCCCUGUAACCAGCACCAGAUCAAGAUGUCUCAUUGUACUUGAACCUGGAAAACCCCUCAGCAGCUCCCUCCUGCAGUCAGCCCCCCUUCAAGGGAAACCACUCACUCCAAACAUUACAUUUAUAAAGGCAGUAUAAAUUGUUUGAGAUGUGUUUAAUGACGUUUGUAAACGCCAUCAAAUAUCCAAAGACUUCUUAGAAGGAGUUGCUAAAACCCGCUUGAUAUCAACAGAACAAAGAUUUGUAAGCAGAUUUAAAGACCUAAGAGAGAAUUAGGGUUGUGAAUGUGUCAGUUUAAUACAUUGAGCUCUAGUUAUUUAGACUCAAAGUAAACGUCCAAGUAGACUUUUCUGGGCAUCACGACUGCCCAUGGAAACACCAGAAAACUCAAAUGAACGUGCACGUGAACAGUCACCUUCCAAAGGCGUGAAGGAAUUUUCAUGAAAUGACGCAUCAUGCCUG